AACCUCCGUCUCCUGGGUUCAAGUGAUUCUCCUGCCUCAGUCUCCUGAGUAGCUGGGAUUACAGGCUUGCGCCACCACACCCAACUAAUUUUUGUAUUUUGGGAGAGAUGGGGUUUCACCAUGUUGGUCAGGCUGGUCUUGAACUCCUAACCUUGUGAUCCAUCCGCCUUGGCCUCCCAAAGUGCUGGGAUUACAGGUUUGAGCCACUGCGCCUGGCAGCAUGGUAAGAAAUUGUUUUUCAAAGUGGUCAUACUAUUUGACAUUACCACCAGCAAUGCAUGAGAGCCCAUAGCAUUCUAUGGUUUGUCUUUUCAUUUUCUUUUUUUCCAUGAGACAGGGUCUCAUGCUGUCUCCCAGGCUGCAGUGCAGUGGUAUAAUUGUAGCUAAAUGCAAUCUCGAACUCCUGGGCUCAAGUGAUCCUCCCACCUCAGCCUUCUGAGUAGCUGGGAUGAUAGGCACACGCCACUAUGCCUGGCUAAUUAUUUUUAUUUCAAUUUUUUAUCUUUAGUAGAGAUGAGAUCUCGCUAUGUUGCCCAGGCUGGUCUUGAACUCCUGGGCUCAAGUGAUCCUACUGCCUCAGCUUCCCAAAAUGCUGGGAAUACAGGUGUGAGCCACCACACCCACCUGUUUUUUCAUUUUCCUAAUGUUAUCUUUCAAAGAGCCAAAGUUUCUAAUUGUGACAGCGUCCAAUUUAUUAAACAUUUUCCUUGAUUGCCUACCUUAAGGUAAGGUUGCAAAUAUUUUCUCCUAUAUUUUCUUCUAGAAUUGUAUAGUUUUGGCUUUUUGUUUAGGUCUAUGAUACACUCAAACUAACUUUAUGGGUGGUGUGAGGUAAGAAUCAAGGGUCUUAUUUAUUUAUUUAUUUAUUUAUUUAUUUAAGAUGGAGUCUCAUUGUCUCCCUCUCCCUCGCCCUCGCCCUCGCCCUCGCCCUCGCCCUCUCCCUCUCCCCACGGUCUCCCUCUGAUGCCGAGCUGAAGCUGGACGGUACUGCUGCCUGAUUCUCCUGCCUCAGCCUGCCGAGUGCCUGCGAUUGCAGGUGCGCGCCGCCACGCCUGACUGGUUUUCGUAUUUUUUUGGUGGAGACGGGGUUUCGCUGUGUUGGCCGGGCUGGUCUCCAGCCCCUAACCGCGAGUGAUCCGCCAGCCUCGGCCUCCCGAGGUGCCGGGAUUGCAGACGGAGUCUCGUUCACUCAGUGCUCAAUGGUGCCCAGGCUGGAGUGCAGUGGCGUGAUCUCGGCUCACUACAACCUCCACCUCCCAGCCGCCUGCCUUGGCCUCCCAAAGAGCCGAGAUUGCAGCCUCUGCCCGGCCGCCACCCCGUCUGGGAAGUGAGGAGCGUCUCUGCCUGGCCGCCCAUCGUCUGGGAUGUGAGGAGCCCCUCUGCCUGGCUGCCCAGUCUGGAAAGUGAGGAGCGCCUCUUCCCGGCCGCCAUCCCAUCUAGGAAGUGAGGAGCGUCUCUGCCCGGCCGCCCAACGUCUGAGAUGUGGGGAGCGCCUCCGCCCCGCCGCCCCGUCUGGGAGUUAGAGGUGGAGUCUCACUAAGUUGCCCAGGCUGGUCUCAAACUCUUGGCCUGAAGCAACCCUCCUGCCUUGGCCUCCCAAAGUGCUGGGAUUAUAGGCAUGAGCCACCAUGCUUGGUCUACCUUGUUUUAAGAGUUGACUUUCGUAUCAUGCUGGAGAAUGACCUAUUCUAAAUAAAUGCCGUGGAAUUCAGUAGGUAG
rnacentral:lncRNA from 1 species